CGCUAUGGCCAUGCCACCCUGAACACACCUAAUCUUGUCUGAUCUCAGAAGCUAAGCAGGGUCGAGCCUGGUUAGUACUUGGAUGGAAGACCACCUAGGAAGACCAGGUGCUGUAGGCU
rnacentral:rRNA from 1 species